CUAAGACGAGCAGCAAUGAUUGUCACAUCAAAAGAGCUUGGCUCACCUAAGACAAAGGAAACACAAUCAUCCUUCAGGGAAUGGGUAAUUCCCAGUUACAAUUGGUUGGAUCUUCUUGGAGCCCUGCCCAUCAAAAUGAGUUUCCUGGCAACAGAAUUGAGACCUUCCCUUCCAGGCUGAUGUAACACCCGGAAGUCUUGGUAAUAACUCCCCAGUUGCUAACCAUUGAUACCCACUCUUGUUAAUUGCACAAAAAUUAAUAAAUAACUAUAUUUGGCAAUG